GACACACUGCUACUUAUUUGUGCUAAAACUGUCAGUACCUUUAGUAGUAUUAAUAUUGUGGAUUUACUUGGUGGGUGAGAUAUGCCUGUCCUGCAUAAUUCAACCUCUGGGGUCAGUAUUACAGUAUUACCUGCACAGAGGACUUGAGAUGCUCGAACUUAUCUAUAUUUUUGUGGGAAUUAUCUGUGCUUUUAUUCGUGUAAGAUAAGUUUGUUUCUUAGGUAAUUUUUAACCUUUAGCAUGCUCUGAAAUUUGUGCAAUUCUUGUUUGAACUUGUGGUCAUUAAUCCGACCCCUUCCUUCCCCUCAAUUCAAGAGAAACAUCCCGAAAACAAAUAUAUGGACAAACAUCGGUUGGUACUGAAAUGUGUCUCAUCUUUAGUAGCACUACUUGGGUCAAGUGUUUCUUCUGUUUAUAUUGUUGAUGAUUACAAUAAUGUAGUGGUGCAGCUGAGAAGCGGAACUCAACUAUCUGCAUAACUAAUUUUUUUCUACAUGUUUGCUUGUAGAUAAGUGAACUCCUAGGUAUAAUGCCCUUUUCUAAUUCUUUCUUGCUUUCUCUCUUUUUUGUGUUGCUUGAUUCAGCUUGGUAUAUUUGUGGAAACCAUAUAUAGUGGAAAUACAGCGGUUGAUUUUGUUUCACAUGAAAAAGUACUAUUGUUUAAAGAAGAGACAUGUCAAGAUAGAAGGGGACAAAAAUGAUUAUUUGGAACCAAAUUUGCAAGCAUUUUUUUUUUCACGUAUAAGGUCUAUUUUAUAAUGCACCGACAUGGACACGUGUGUCAAAUACGAUAUAUGUCGAAUACAUCGAUGCGUGAUUUUUCAAAAAAAAUGUAUUCGACACGUGAUUUUUCAAAAAAAAUGUAUUCGACGCGUGAUUUUUCAAAAAAAAUGUAUUCGACGCGUGAUUUUUCAAAAAAAUACUGACAUGAUACGUCACCAACACAUUAUUAAAUUUUUUAAAAUUCUUCAUUUUAUAUAGUAUAAAUUUCGUUUUGUGCUUAUUAUUAAUUUUUUUUUCUAAAUCUUUUAAAUAUGAGUACUCAUUUAUUAUUUACUAAUAACUUUGAAUUACAAAUAAUAAUAUUUUUUUAUAAAAAAAAAAAGAAAAAUGUUCAUGGUAAAGUGUUCAAGAAGUGUCGGUAUUGACGUGUAUCCGACAUGUGAGACACGGACACGUUAUCCUAGGUGAAAUGUUCGUGCUACAAAGAGUCUAUUGAAGAUGGAAACAUUUAUUUUUCUCUUGGAAUGUAUUUAGUGCAAAUAGCUGUAGUCUUUAUUGAGGAUAGACCUCUCUUGACACUGUCUCUUGGUCUGUUUUUCUUAUCAUGCGACUGCUAAUUAUGUCCAUUUCAUGUUGUUCUAUUUCAUUGUGUGUCAAUUAGGUGUAUAUCAGUCUCUUUAUAGGCAUGUUCACUGGUGAACUGUAUUAAUGAAUUAAUGAAAAUUAUUAAAGAUUAGAGUUAUGUUUGAAGGAGUGAUGAGAUUUUGAUGAAUAUUGACAUGGAGAUUUUCCCUUAAUUGUCGUCCUCAGGAGCGAAGAAGCAAACUGCUGUUAUUUUUGUUAAGAUCGCUGAGUUGAUUACCUGGAGGAAGAAAAUUUAAUUGCUGAUUUCUGGGAUAUUCUUGAAAUGUUAGUAUCUAUGUAGAGUAGCAAACAGGCCUUAAUCAAAUAGGCCAUUGCUUUGUAUUCCACAACUAUGCAACUGAAUUUUGAGUCACGACCCUGCAAGGAUUUUUGUGAAAAGUCUCCAACAUUGGAACUUGCCUAUUAUUGGAGAAAUUUAAGCUGUUUUUCCGUGGAAAGAGAAUUCUUUGAGCUUUGUAUGGUAAUUUCCAUGUUGUAGGCAUGUAAUUGUUUUGUUUUGACAUGUUUGUCUCGUCUCUCCGGUUGUAAAUAUAUUGUAAAAUUCUCAAAGUCAUGUAUGACGAUGCUGUAAUUGGUGUUUUAGUAUGUAGUUUGUAGUCAUUGUACAUGUUACAAAUCUCAAAGUCAUGAUGAUGCUGUAAUUGGUAUUUUAGUACGUAUUUUGUAGUCACUGUACAUGUUGAAGUGUCAUUGUCAUUGAAUUGUAACCUUGAAUUGUUUUAGAUUUAUCCCAAAGUUAUGCAUGUUGAUCUUUUGGGGAAAUAUUGUAAAUUUUCUUGGUUUAUCCAUUAAGAACCUCCUCAAAUAGUCUUUUUGGGGAAAUAUUGCUUUUAUGAUGUGAAUUUUUUUUUUCUUUUUUCUUUUCUUUUUUUUUUUUUU
rnacentral:lncRNA from 1 species